rnacentral:rRNA from 1 species
AUUGAACGCUGGCGGCAUGCUUUACACAUGCAAGUCGAACGGCAGCACGGGAGCAAUCCUGGUGGCGAGUGGCGAACGGGUGAGUAAUAUAUCGGAACGUGCCUUAUAGUGGGGGAUAACGCAGCGAAAGUUGCGGUAAUACCGCAUACGCCCUGAGGGGGAAAGCGGGGGAUCGAAAGACCUCGCGCUACUAGAGCGGCCGAUAUCCGAUUAGCUAGUUGGUGAGGUAAAGGCUCACCAAGGCUUCGAUCAGUAGCUGGUCUGAGAGGACGAUCAGCCACACUGGGACUGAGACACGGCCCAGACUCCUACGGGAGGCAGCAGUGGGGAAUUUUGGACAAUGGGGGCAACCCUGAUCCAGCAAUGCCGCGUGAGUGAAGAAGGCCUUCGGGUUGUAAAGCUCUUUUGUCAGGGAAGAAACAGCAGCUCUAACACAGCUGUGAAUGACGGUACCUGAAGAAUAAGCACCGGCUAACUACGUGCC